AGGCUGGGUGCCGGGCGGCAGGCGGAGGCCGGGCUGCUGGCAUGGCAUGCGACGGCGCUCGCGCUGGGGCUCGGACUCGCGACCAGCCUCC
rnacentral:tRNA from 1 species